CCCUGCCUAUCUGAGGCCUUCCAAGAUGAUGUAGGAGCUGAGGAACCAGGCCAGCCUGAAGAUGGAUUUCUGAUGUCAUUGUCCAGCAGUGCUUCACACAGCAUUGAUGAACUUUGGAGUCCUGUGGCCCCUCAAGCAGUCAUCCAAAGUUUUACGCUGCAACUGAAUUACCAGGAAGAGUAUUAGUGGUCCUGCAAGGACAUCCUGACUCCAUAUGGAUGAAUUUGCCACUGCUUGCAAGGUCUCCUUGAAAAGAAGAGAAAGAGCAGUCAGCACCAGCUCAGAGCCUCCUUUUAUGCUGAAAUGUCUUCAGCCUGAGCAGCAGGAAAAGGAUCAAAUGAGUUGAUCUCAAAUCUCUUCCAACUGCUCCUGAUGGAACCCGGGUUGGAAAGGAUGGUCAUACAAAAUUGGGAAGGCAUCUAACAUGAUUCAUGAAGUGAGAUAUCCCAGGCCUUUGGUGGUGCUGAAAGAAACACUUCUCAUGCAGUUGGGGUGUGCCAGUAGUAGAAAAAAAAUGUUUUCAUUGUCAGGAGUAAUGGACAUCGCUGUAAUUGACUGUCACAAAUCCUAUAGGCUGCAAAAGGCAAUGACAAUCUCUCUCUUGUAUUUCCAAGUUGCACGGGAACCCCCAGACAAACCACUGCUGCCUUCUGUGGUAGAUAUUUUGCAUUCUCAGGACCGAGAUUGUUCCUCCUUUGGGUUGAUCUGCUCCA